rnacentral:misc_RNA from 1 species
UACGGGGGGAGCAAGCGUUGUUCGGAUUUACUGGGCGUAAAGGGCGCGUAGGCGGCCACCGCAAGUCAGUUGUGAACUCUCUGGGCUUAACCCAGAAAGGUCAACUGAUACUGCGGGGCUAGAGUGCAGAAGGGGCAACUGGAAUUCUCGGUGUAGCGGUGAAAUGCGUAGAUAUCGAGAGGAACACCUGCGGCGAAGGCGGGUUGCUGGGCUGACACUGACGCUGAGGCGCGAAAGCUAGGGGAGCGAACGGG